UACAGAGGGGGCAAGCGUUGUUCGGAAUUACUGGGCGUAAAGGGCGCGUAGGCGGCCUGCUAAGUCGAACGUGAAAUCCCCGGGCUCAACCCGGGAACUGCGUCCGAUACUGGCAGGCUUGAAUUCGGGAGAGGGAUGCGGAAUUCCAGGUGUAGCGGUGAAAUGCGUAGAUAUCUGGAGGAACACCGGUGGCGAAGGCGGCAUCCUGGACCACAACUGACGCUGAGGCGCGAAAGCUAGGGGAGCAAACAGG
rnacentral:rRNA from 1 species